rnacentral:miRNA from 1 species
AGGAGUGGGGUGGCCGUGAGAUCCCAGACGAGCCCCCAAAUGAAAGGUUCCUGCCGAUAACCGGCUGAUUCUCCUUGUCCAGGGAGUGCUACGGCGACCCCAAUCACC